CAGAGGUCUCAAGCGUUGUUCGGAUUCAUUGGGUGUAAAGGGUGCGUAGGCGGCGCGGUAAGUCGGGUGUGAAAUUUCGAGGCUUAACUUCGAAACUGCAUUCGAUACUGCCGUGCUCGAGGACUGGAGAGGAGGCUGGAAUUUACGGUGUAGCGGUGAAAUGCGUAGAUAUCGUAAGGAAGACCAGUGGCGAAGGCGGGGCUCUGGACAGUUCCUGACGCUGAGGCACGAAGGCCAGGGGGAGCAAACGGGAUUAGAUACCCCCGGUAGUCCUGGCAAUAAACGGUGCACGUUUGGUGUGGGAGGAUUCGACCCCUUCUGCGCCGGAGCUAACGCGUUAAACGUGCCGCCUGGGGAGUACGGUCGCAAGAUUA
rnacentral:rRNA from 1 species